AUUGAACGCUGGCGGCAGGCCUAACACAUGCAAGUCGAGCGGAUGAAGGGAGCUUGCUCCUGGAUUCAGCGGCGGACGGGUGAGAACUGCCUAGGAAUCUGCCUGGUAGUGGGGGAUAACGUCCUGAAACGGGCGCUAAUACCGCAUACGACCUGAGGUCGCAAGUGGGGGAUCUUCGGAUCUCACGCUAUCAUGUGAGCCUAGGUCUGUUUAGCUAGUUGGAGGGGUAAAUGCUUACCAAGGCUAGGAUCCGUAACUGGUAUUAAAGGAUGACCAGUCACAUUGGAAGUGAGGAGCGGUACAGACUCCUGGGCGAGGAAGCCGUGCGGAAUAUUGGACGAUGGACGAAAGCCUGAUACAGGCAUGCCGCGUGUGUGAAGAAGGAGUUAGGACUGUAGAGCACUUUAAGUUGGAGGGAAGGGAAGUAAGUUUAUCCCGGACUAUAAUGACAUUACCGGGAGAAUAAGCACCGGCUAACUUCGUG
rnacentral:rRNA from 1 species